GCCAAAGUGGGCUAGUGGUAUGAGCAUUGGACUAUGACUCUGGAGACCAGGGUUCAAAUCCCAGCUUAGCUC